CAGGCUUAACACAUGCAAGUCGAGGGGCAGCAUGGUCUUAGCUUGCUAAGACUGAUGGCGACCGGCGCACGGGUGAGUAACACGUAUCCAACCUGCCGUCUACUCUUGGACAGCCUUCUGAAAGGAAGAUUAAUACAAGAUGGCAUCAUGAGUCCGCAUGUUCACAUGAUUAAAGGUAUUCCGGUAGACGAUGGGGAUGCGUUCCAUUAGAUAGUAGGCGGGGUAACGGCCCACCUAGUCUUCGAUGGAUAGGGGUUCUGAGAGGAAGGUCCCCCACAUUGGAACUGAGACACGGUCCAAACUCCUACGGGAGGCAGCAGUGAGGAAUAUUGGUCAAUGGGCGAGAGCCUGAACCAGCCAAGUAGCGUGAAGGAUGACUGCCCUAUGGGUUGUAAACUUCUUUUAUAAAGGAAUAAAGUCGGGUAUGCAUACCCGUUUGCAUGUACUUUAUGAAUAAGGAUCGGCUAACUCCGUGCCAGCAGCCGCGGUAAUACGGAGGAUCCGAGCGUUAUCCGGAUUUAUUGGGUUUAAAGGGAGCGUAGACGGAUGUUUAAGUCAGUUGUGAAAGUUUGCGGCUCAACCGUAAAAUUGCAGUUGAUACUGGAUAUCUUGAGUGCAGUUGAGGCAGGCGGAAUUCGUGGUGUAGCGGUGAAAUGCUUAGAUAUCACGAAGAACUCCGAUUGCGAAGGCAGCCUGCUAAGCUGCAACUGACAUUGAGGCUCGAAAGUGUGGGUAUCAAACAGGAUUAGAUACCCUGGUAGUCCACACGGUAAACGAUGAAUACUCGCUGUUUGCGAUAUACAGCAAGCGGCCAAGCGAAAGCGUUAAGUAUUCCACCUGGGGAGUACGCCGGCAACGGUGAAACUCGAAGGAAUUGACGGGGGCCCGCACAAGCGGAGGAACAUGUGGUUUAAUUCGAUGAUACGCGAGGAACCUUACCCGGGCUUAAAUUGCAGAUGAAUUACGGUGAAAGCCGUAAGCCGCAAGGCAUCUGUGAAGGUGCUGCAUGGUUGUCGUCAGCUCGUGCCGUGAGGUGUCGGCUUAAGUGCCAUAACGAGCGCAACCCUUGUUGUCAGUUACUAACAGGUUCCGCUGAGGACUCUGACAAGACUGCCAUCGUAAGAUGUGAGGAAGGUGGGGAUGACGUCAAAUCAGCACGGCCCUUACGUCCGGGGCUACACACGUGUUACAAUGGGGGGUACAGAGGGCCGCUACCACGCGAGUGGAUGCCAAUCCCCAAAACCUCUCUCAGUUCGGACUGGAGUCUGCAACCCGACUCCACGAAGCUGGAUUCGCUAGUAAUCGCGCAUCAGCCACGGCGCGGUGAAUACGUUCCCGGGCCUUGUACACACCGCCCGUCAAGCCAUGGGAGCCGGGGGUACCUGAAGUGCGUAACCGCGAGGAGCGCCCUAGGGUAAAACUGGUGACUGGGGCUA
rnacentral:rRNA from 1 species